rnacentral:rRNA from 1 species
GAAACCCUGACGUAGCGACACCGCGUGAGCGAAGAAGCCCUUCGGGGUGUAAAGCUCUGUCAGCUGGGACGAAAAAAAUGACGGUACCAGCAGAGGAAGCAUCGGCUAACUACGUGCCAGCAGCCGCGGUAAGACGUAGGAUGCAAGCGUUGUCCGGAUUUAUUGGGCGUAAAGAGUUCGUAGGUGGUUUGUUAAGUCUGAUGUUAAGGAUCGAGGCUCAACCUCGGGAGUGCAUCGGAUACUGGCAGACUAGAGUAUGGUAGAGGCAAGCGGAAUUCCCAGUGUAGCGGUGAAAUGCGUAGAUAUUGGGAAGAACACCGGUGGCGUAGGCGGCUUGCUGGGCCAUAACUGACACUGAGGAACGAAAGCCAG